UACUAUCAUAUAUCGUGCUUGGAAGGAAGGAGCUCGAGGGGGGACGGGAGCGGAGCGACGGGGUAUAGUGACCGACCGAUGAGACCGCCGCAGCACGAUCUCGCCCUCUCACAAGGCCACAUGGUGCACGAGCACGAACCUUGCGGCAUGCACAGGUACCUCUACCUCUGGGGCAACCGCGUCCACUACCUACCGGACUAGUUCCCCGCCCUCAAACGCUGCGUCGACGUCCCGGAGGAGGCCCUGAGGGGGUUCCGGCCGGAGUAGUACCUGGUCUAGGAGGUGCGGAAGAGGGCCCGGUACGUGCGGCGGUUCCGACGCCGGCGACGGUGCCGACGAUGGUCGCCAUCACUCUCCAGGAGCCUGCACGUAUCGCUCCAGUGGCUACCACGCUCGCCGCCGGCCUUCUCCUUCAGGCGGCGGCGGCCUCCUUUGGCGUUCCGGACAGCCUCUUCCUGGGUCGUCAGCAGGCAGCAGUGCUUCUCACACUUCUCGAACCUGCUGCCCGUCCGUACCGCGUUCAUGCCCGUCUUCCUCUAUGUGUUGAGGUUCGUGAGCUCCAUGCAAAGAGACGGGCGGUUACUAGUAGUGAUGAUCAUUAUUUGGCGAUUUUUGGUGGUCCACCUUGCUGUUUGUCACGAGGAUGGUUGGUACGGACGUUAGUUAGGGAGCUGCAGCUGCCCAGAGGCAGUUGACUGUUCGCGGCCCGCACUUGCACAAAGAAGGCGUCCCGGAUGAAGGCCACGUGCGUGUUCAUGCUGGUCGACACGCGCCGCGUCGCCGUCCAGGUCGCGACGCUGCUGCUGCUCCCGUACAAGUCCCAGUGGAUGUAGCCGCACGUGUGGACGGCCCUGGGGCGGCGGCGGCGACACCGCAGCGUGUACGAGGUGGAGUGGCCGCGGCGGCUUCCGGACGUGCGGCCGACGGUGGAGUAGUCGAAGCGCGGGCCGUCGAGGUGGCGGCGGCGAGGGUCGUGCUGGUGCUGCUGCUACUGGAACUUGCGGUUCGACCAGCUGCUUCUGCGGCGCUGCCCCAGGCCGGACGUCCCGUACUUCGGACUCUCGCCGCUGGUCCUCCUCCACGACUCGUCGGCGUGGGGGCCCUUGAGACGGGUCGUGUCGUGGCGGCGCCGCCGCUGCCGCUGCCGAGGACGAACCGGGCUGGUCCCUCUGCACUGCAGGUGGGCCGUUAUGACACCGCGGCAAUUGAAACCUCUCAUGGAACUACUGAUGUGCAGGGAGCCCCUGGAUCACAGGAUGCAGGAGCUAGUAACUAGGCAGCUCGACACCUAGCUGGCUAAACAGCGCACAUUUACCUUUAUUACCGACACGCCUAGCAGCUAGUAGAACUCGCCGUUGGUGACGCUCAGCAUGAAAUCAAACAUGUCAAAUAAAAGCAGAGUACUGUUAAUCUUCGACUUUCAACCCAUAACAAAAUCAACUCGGCUCCGAAAACAGAGAGGGCUCACUGACUCUUCACUUGUCUUAAAAAUCAAAUAAAACGUGAGGUGAGGUGCUGAAAUACAUUUAAAAUCGAAGUACAAAGACUUAAAGGAAGAUAAGCUUCUUGUUAUUACGAUUUGUAUAUUUUUAAAUGUGCGUUAAUGU
rnacentral:rRNA from 1 species